rnacentral:lncRNA from 10 species
GAAAGAACAACCUUCCCUGAGCACUCGCUGAGCGCUCAGCUUAUUGCCUCCUCUUGUUCUUGCCGUUUCCAGGGAGGCAGGGAAGAUUUUCUCCAUUUUAUAGGUGAGAACACUGAGGCUCUGCGGGGUCAAUGGCUCGAUGCCCAGGGCUGGGUGUGCAGUCUGCACUGCCUCCUGGAAGUAGCUGGUACUUGGACUGAAUUUGAAAUAGGAUAACUCAAGCAUCUCAUUCACCCCGGAAUCCCUGAUGUCCUGUUUUGCUCACUUGGAGGGCAUCUGGGGGAUGUCUUCUCAUCCGCUCCAAAGUCCUGCUGGAGGAAGCUGGAG